CAGUUAAAAAGCUCGUAGUUGGAUCUCGGGCCGCCGGCGGCGGUUCGGCCUCGUGGCCGCCUACUGCCGUCGGCGCCCGACACGGCGGUCUCGCCCGGCGGGUGCCCUUAGCUGGGUUCUGCCCGCCGCGGCCGCCCCUUUUACUUUGGAAAAAUCUGAGUGUUCAAGGCAGGCCGACGGCGCCUGUAAGGAGUUGCAUGGAAUGAUGGAACAGGACCGCGCGGUCUAUUUUGUCGGUUGUCGGACUCGCGGUAAUGAUUGAGAGAGACGGUCGGGGGCAUUCGUAUGGCGGCGCGAGAGGUGAAAUUCUGGGACCGUCGCCAGACGGACGGCUGCGAAAGCGUUUGCCAAGGACGUUYUCHUUAAUCAAGAACGAAAGUCAGAGGUUCGAAGACGMUCAGAUACCGUCCUAGYUCUGACCUUAAACGAUGCCGACCAGCGAUCGGCGGGCGUUGUBUCAAUGACCCCGCSGGCAGCCCCCCGGGAAACCCGAGUCUCUGGGUUCCGGGGGAAGUAUGGUUGCAAAGCUGAAACUUAAAGGAAUUGACGGAAGGGCACCACCAGGAGUGGACUGCGGCUUAAUUUGACUCAACACGGGAAAUCUCACCGGGCCCCGACAGCGAGAGGAUUGACAGAUUGAGAGCUCUUUCUUGAUUCGGUGGAUGGUGGUGCAUGGCCGUUCUUAGUUGGUGGAGUGAUUUGUCUGGUUAAUUCCGAUAACGAACGAGACUCCGGCCUGCUAAAUAGUCAGUCGGUGCGUCUGCUCGCCGGCGACGACUUCUUAGAGGGACAAGUGGCGCUCAGCCACGCGAGAGCGGGCAAUAACAGGUCUGUGAUGCCCUUAGAUGUUCUGGGCCGCACGCGCGCUACACUGAAAGACCCAGCGAGACGCUGUCCUAUGCCGGAAGGUACGGGUAAUCUGCUGAACCUCUUUCGUGCUAGGGACUGGGGCUUGCAAUUGUUGCCCACGAACGAGGAAUUCCCAGUAAGCGCGAGUCAUCAGCUCGUGUUGAUUACGUCCCUGCCCUUUGUACACACCGCCCGUCGCUACUACCGAUUGAGUGGUUUAGUGAGACCCUUGGAUUCGUCCCGGCCGAGGCAGCUCCGUCUGCCGCGCGCGGUCGCGGAGAAGACGGUCGAACUUGACUACUUA
rnacentral:rRNA from 1 species